AUUGAACGCUGGCGGCAGGCCUAACACAUGCAAGUCGAACGAGUGGCGGACGGGUGAGUAAUGUCUGGGAAACUGCCCGGUGGCGGGGGAUAACUACUGGAAACGGUAGCUAAUACCGCAUACCAUCGGAUGUGCCCAGAUGGGAUUAUCUUGUUGGUGGGGUAACGGCUCAACCAGGCGACGAUCCCUAGCUGGUCUGAGAGGAUGACCAGCAACACUGGAACUGAGACACGGUCCAGACUCCUACGGGAGGCAGCAGUGGGGAAUAUGGGACAAUGGGAGCAACCCUGAUGCAGCCAUGCCGCGUGUAUGAAGAAGGCCUUCGGGUUGUAAAGUACGUUUAGCGGGGAGGCGUUACCCGCAGAAUAAGCACCGGCUAACUCCGUGCCAGCAGCCGCGGUAAUUC
rnacentral:rRNA from 1 species